rnacentral:rRNA from 1 species
GAUGAACGCUGGCGGCGUGCCUAAUGCAUGCAAGUCGAGCGAACAGACGAGGAGCUUGCUCCUCUGACGUUAGCGGCGGACGGGUGAGUAACACGUGGAUAACCUACCUAUAAGACUGGGAUAACUUCGGGAAACCGGGGCUAAUACCGGAUAAUAUAUUGAACCGCAUGGUUCAAUAGUGAAAGACGGUUUUGCUGUCACUUAUAGAUGGAUCCGCGCCGCAUUAGCUAGUUGGUAAGGUAACGGCUUACCAAGGCAACGAUGCGUAGCCGACCUGAGAGGGUGAUCGGCCACACUGGAACUGAGACACGGUCCAGACUCCUACGGGAGGCAGCAGUAGGGAAUCUUCCGCAAUGGGCGAAAGCCUGACGGAGCAACGCCGCGUGAGUGAUGAAGGUCUUCGGAUCGUAAAACUCUGUUAUUAGGGAAGAACAAAUGUGUAAGUAACUAUGCACGUCUUGACGGUACCUAAUCAGAAAGCCACGGCUAACUACGUG